rnacentral:lncRNA from 1 species
AUGAGCAGGGGCCAGCCCCCUGCCUCCAAGACCCUAGGUGACUGCUUCUGGUGGAGGGGAAGAGCCCAGCUGGCUGGUGAGGGGAGGUCCUGGUGGCCACAGGACGUGAGCCCGGUGCUGACAGUCUGCACCCAGAGAGGUGCGCAGGGUGGUCACCCGGAGUCUGCAUCCACCCUGCAGGCGGUGUGUUCUGUGUUGGGUGCGUGUGGUUGUGUGAUAUCUGGGUUGUGUGCUGUCCCGGCAGGCGGGUGUGUGGGUUGUGUCCUGGGAACCUCCGUUGUACACCUGAGCAGCGGCCUGAAGGCGGAGCCCAGAUGUGGAGUCCGAGGGAGACGUCAGUACAGAGAAGGGAGAAGUGAAAGUGAAAAACCCUGGGGCUGCUGGACACUCCAGGCUGGGACCAGGAGACCAGGCUAGGUGAGAAAAAGUGUGGGAGCAGAAAGGACUGUGGCAUGGACAAACUCUGAUCUGAUCGAGAGCAUGCUGGAAGAGGUCAGGAUCCUCCGCUAGGCUGCUCAGCUGGAGGGGCGCCCCUGCUCCACCCACAGCUGAUACUCACCCAAGUGGUUGCAGAACCUGACUGAACCCACUGUCAAAGCCCAGGGAGUGCCAGAGGGGCCCAAAGGGCCAGAAGUGGAGGCCUGAGCCCCCAGUCCUCCACAGCAUUGCUGCCUUCCACGCCUCCUUCUGUCCUUUUUGGGGGCCGCCCCACAGCUUUCUUCGACACCACUGUAACCCCACCCUUGGUGCCUACCGCCCAGAGGGAGCCCGCGCCCAGUGGCCCUGCGCCCCGCACAUCCGCCACUAGCACCCCACGCAAUCGCCACCAUCAUCUGCGGGAAGUCUUCCUUUCUCACCUGGAUCGGUCGCGGUUCCUUUCCGCUUCACUCCCCCUGCCGGCCAUGCCUCUGAGAGCGUGAGGUAGGAGGCCUGGCUGGGCGGCUGUCUGCACGGGCCAGGAGUGCUGGGUGCCGCCAGGGGUCUCGUGCUGCUGGGGGCGGGGGUCUGCCUCCUUAAGGCUCUGCUUGAGCUCAGGGCCUGGGCUGCGCAGGCCAUCCCUCUACCCCAGAUGCAGACUGAAGACAAGACCCACGUUUCACCGCACCAGAGGGCAGCAAGGUGCGAACUAUGGCGGGACCACUUUACAGUCCCUAAAACCCUCACUCUGCUUUGACCAGCAGCCUCAAGUUUCAGGAUGGGGACCAGCAGUCUAGCUGAGGGCAAGAGGCAGCAGAGGCGGGAUGGAGCUGAGGCAGCCGCCCCUCUGGGGCACGGAUAGGGUUGUAGUCUGUGCUUCUCCCUCUGGGCCCUGUGCAGGGUCCCACGUGGGCUCUGGGCUGCACCCUGGCACUGCCCCUGGUGCCUUGAGAUCGAAGGCUCACUCAUCCCCUGUCCCAGCAUCUUGGGAGUUUUGCCU